ensembl:lncRNA
UCUGUGUCUGCAACAGCACUGGAUGUGAAGAUUUAGAGUGGCGUGAGAGCUACUCUCUCUCUUUCCCUUCCCAUUUAUAAUGAGAAGUUUUUUCAGUGAUUUCCAAAGCAGUUUUAAAAGUCUGAAGGAGUGCUAACUACCACUAUUGCUAUCUCAGGAUGGUGGGCAAAUAUAUUUCUACCUGACACAUCCUCCUCCUCCACCAGUGCCAAUUAUAACUCAGAUGGACUCGGGGGAUUACUGACAAUUUCUUUAAUGGUGUGUGAGAGUUCCCAUUGCCCAUAUAGAUUUACUCUGCAACACAGACAGUGACAAAAAGUGUUCAGUACCUUGACUCACUCAGUGCAAGAAAUUCUUGAAAGGAUAGAAAAGUGGGAAAAGAAACUUUUCUGUUUCCCAGAAGAUUAAGUGAAGCCACAAAUAAAUGAAAUGAAAAGCUAUGAAUACUCCAAAGAUACCUUGGUUUCACCAUCUUGAGCACACUCGAGGAGCAGACUGUUGGACUAUGUAACCCAUACUCCUAUCCCUCCAGAAUGCCAUCUCUGUGUCAUACUGUCAAUGGAUGCCAUGGAGAGAAUCUCAAUGCCAUUUCAAAAUCUGCUAGCAGAGAGGAAAGUGAAGACUAAUCUGAGGAUUCAAAAUGGAAUGUUCAGCUUUGACUGAGACACCAGACUUUGCUGAAGUCUCAUAAUGACAAAGGAUUUGUAGCAAAACCAGUUCUUCAUGGAAGAGUCUGAGAACAUGAGAAAAAAAAAGAGCAGAAAUGGUACUUAGAGCAUACUUGAUAGAGCAGUGUGAGGACCAAUAUACGUGCUAACUGGGCCUGGAAAAUUAAAUCCUCCUUUGUAUAGAUUAUUCUUUUGAAGAAUCUGAGUAUACUUUGCUCAAGGCUUUCUUUCCCUGAUUAUUUUGUGAAGAAUGAGAGAGUUAGAACUGUAUAAGAAUAGAGUAAUUAAGGUUAGCAAAGACCAAUAAGAUCAUCUAGUCAAACUGUCAACACAUCCUCAACACGUCCUCUAACCAUGUCCUUCAGUCCAGUGCAUUACCACUCUUUUAGAGAGGUCAUUUUUUCUAACAUCCAAACUGAACCUCCCCUGGGACAACUUGAGGCUACUACUCAUCCCAUCACUAUUACCUGGGAGAAGAUGCUGACACCCAUCUAACCACAACCUCCUUUUAGGGAGUUGUAGAGAGCAAUAAAGUCUCCCAUGAGCCUCUUCUUCUCCAGACUGAACAAUCCCAGUUGCCUCAGCUGCUCCCCAUAACACUUGUCCAGAUCCUUCACAACUUCAUUGCCCUUCACUGAACACACUCCAGGGCCUUGAUGUCUUUCUUGCAGUGAGAGACCAAAACUGACCACAGUACUCAAAGUGCAGUCUCUCCACUGCUGAAUACAUGGGGACAAUUAUUUCCCUGCUCCUGCUGGCUGCACUAUUUCUGAUAGUAGUCAAGAUGCCAUUGGCUUUCUUGGCCACCUAAGCACACUCCUAGAUCAUGUUUAGCCAGGUGUCAAUUAACAUGCCCAGAUCCUUUCCCUCCGCACAGCUUUCCAGUCACUCUGCCUCAACCCUGUAGCGUUGCCUGGGGUUUCUUUGACCAAAGUGCAAGACCCAGCACUUGGUCGUCUGAAGCUCAUAAAAUUGGCCUCAGCCCAUCAAUCUACCCUGUUCAGUUCCCUCUGUAGGGUCUUCCUACUCUCAUGCAAAUCAACUCUUUCUGCCGCGUUGGUGUCAUCUGCAAACUUAGUGAGGCUGCACUCAAUCUCCUCAUCCAGGUCAUCAGUAAACAUAUUAAACAGGACAGACCCCAGUACCAACCACAGGGGAACACCACUCAUGACCAAUCACCAGCUGGAUUUAAUUCCAUUCAACCCCACACUCUGGGCCCAGCCAUCCAGCCAGGAUCCAAGUGGAUCCCAUCCAGCCCCUUGGACUUGUAACAGUCAUGACAAGGCCUACAUUUAUCUAGUUUGUUAUAUAGUGCUGCCUGUGUGAUAUCUGCUGUCAAUAGUCUGUGAAUAAACUAUAAUGAAAGAUACCUACUGUUGCACUUGCUUACAUGGACCACUGUGUUAUUUUACUACUGGUCUCACAGAUUAAUAACAAAAAACAUGUAGUGUAGUGGGCAUUACUAGAAGAUAUUUCAAUCAAGCCACAUUAAUUCAGUAUUGAAUAUACAAAUAUUAUGAAAUCGGAAGGUGUUAUGUACUCUCAUUUUUACAUACAAGAAAGUUUAAACAGUAAAUCUAAGGUCACCUUGGAGUUUAAUUUGGAAUAAAAUAAACACACUAUAUUUAAAAAGGAAAAAGUCCUAACUGAUUUAUCACCACUUACUCUUUCUUAUGGCAAGCAGGGCUAGAAAUAAUUACUGUCUGCGUAAAAUAUUCCUUCCAAAGAAAAAAAAAAAAAACAUUUAAAAUGAAAUAAUUGUAUUCUUAAAAGUAGAGCCUGCAGAAAAAAAUGUAAAGCACUGAAAUACUUUUACUACUUUUGAAGCAUAAUUAUGUAAUUGCAUAAUUAAUUAUAUAUUUCUAAAAGACAGGGUAGUGGCUUUACAUGGAGAAGUCUAGAUUUGUUACUUUUAUGUUCUACAUUAUCAUUUCCUGUUCUUCCAUCUGAAGGCAUUGUGGUGUAAUAAAAUUUGAUACUUUACAAUGCACACUGUUAAUCUUCUUCAAUACACAAAGAUUUUUUAAGAAUAAAGAUUUAAAACAAAUGAAAUCAUAAAUAUUUUUGUUAUAUAUAUGUACACCUUUCACCUUUCUUUCUGAUUUUCAUGCACUGUGGAUGAAGAAGUAAGAACUCUUUGCUUACAGUAAUGUACCACCAGCAUUCUUGUAUUAAAAUAUUUAAAGACAAUAUUUGCAUGAUCUCACAACUCUGUUCUCAACCCUGCUGCCAUUAGGUAAAUCACAUAACAGGUGGCAUGUGGGCAAACAGCUGACUU